UGACAGGGGCAGGAACUCUUUCCACUCUGAAGGAGGAAGUCAGACCCUCAGCAGUUGCAUUCAGUCUCCAUGGUAACCAGAGUCAAAAGGGAGCCACAGUGUUUGGGGGAGGUGGCUAAGUGGUUUGCUGAGCACAUGAGGGAGGACCUGAACAGGAAUCCCCAGAUCCUAUGUGAAGCCAGGCCUGAGAGAGCAUCUGUAAUCCUAGCUUUCUUGUGAUUUCCUCACAAUAGCAAGACGGCUUCAAGAGCUCCAGGCCUCACAUCCUCCAAGGACAACGGCUAAUGCAGAAAGGAAGAAUAUCUUCACUUCUCACUACUUUUGCACCAUAGAAUCCUGCCUUGACCAGAGUAUGUAGUGGCUUCUUAUUCUUCAUCGGCCAGAUGGAGCUCAUGUCCACUCCUGAACCAAGAGACUGAGAUCACAACACAAUCCAUUUCCUGAAAAGAAAAUGAAACCAGCACCAAUAAAGGGAUAUGACUGUU